GUUGUGGUUGAUGAUGCAUUAUCUUUCCCCGGCUGAUCGACUAUGGUGAAACAGUUUUUUAAAAUAAGCCAAAUCUUGUCUGAAACCACAAU